rnacentral:rRNA from 1 species
CAUGGUGUAGCAAUACACCGGAAGAUUUAGUGGCGAACGGGUGAGGAUCACGUGAGAAACCUGCCCCAGACUUUGGGAUAACAAUUGGAAACGAUUGCUAAUACCGAAUGACGUCGGAGAACCGCAUGGUUCACUGACGAAAGGAAAUCCGGUUUGGGAGGGUCUCGCGGCCUAUCAGCUUGUUGGUGGGGUAAUGGCCUACCAAGGCAACGACGGGUAGCUGGUCUGAGAGGAUGAUCAGCCACACUGGGACUGAGACACGGCCCAGACUCCUACGGGAGGCAGCAGUGGGGAAUCUUGCGCAAUGGGCGAAAGCCUGACGCAGCAACGCCGCGUGCGGGAUGAAGGCCUUCGGGCUGUAAACCGCUUUCAGCAGGAACGAAAAUGACGGUACCUGCAGAAGAAGGAGCGGCCAACUACGUGCCAGCAGCCGCGGUGACACGUAGGCUCCAAGCGUUGUCCGGAUUUAUUGGGCGUAAAGAGCUCGUAGGCGGUUUAGUAAGUCGGGUGUUAAAACUCUGGGCUCAACCCGGAGAGGCCAUCCGAUACUGCUGUGACUUGAGUUCAGGAGGGGAGCGGGGAAUUCCUAGUGUAGCGGUGAAAUGCGCAGAUAUUAGGAGGAACACCGGUGGCGAAGGCGCCGCUCUGGACUGAAACUGACGCUGAGGAGCGAAAGCAUGGGUAGCAAACAGGAUUAGAUACCCUGGUAGUCCAUGCCGUAAACGGUGGGCACUAGGUGUGGGUUCCAACUAACGGGAUCCGCGCCGUCGCUAACGCA